UUUAAUUUGUUUGCCGGACUGUUUUUUUUAAUUAAAACUAGCUGCGAUGGACUAUUUACCUAUACUAGAACCAACUGCGACAUUAAUCGCAUUCGAUGUCUUUUUCGACGCCCUCGGUGAGUUACUUUCUUAGCAAUACAUACACAUAUGUACAUAGUAUGUUUGUCCCUAUAUUAACAGGAUUUUAUUGCAGAAGAAUAAUACUUGCGAUCAACAACCAGGAAUAUCAGGCCGAACUGCUGGAGAUAGCUCGAGAAAUGUCGAUAGUUGAGAAGGAGCGAAACAAGGCCCAGAGAGCGAUACUCGAGCCGAUGAAGAAAAGAUAGCUUCCACUCAAAGGUUAU
rnacentral:lncRNA from 1 species